rnacentral:tRNA from 1 species
UGGGGAUUCGCCAAGCGGUAAGGCAGCGGACUUUGACUCCGCCAUUCGGGGGUUCGAAUCCCUCAUCCCCAACCA